rnacentral:rRNA from 1 species
CCUACGGGUGGCAGCAGUGAGGAAUAUUGGUCAAUGGGCGGGAGCCUGAACCAGCCAAGCCGCGUGAGGGAAGAAGGUACAGCGUAUCGUAAACCUCUUUUGUCGGGGAACAAAGGCGGGGACUAGUCCCCGGAUGAGGGUACCUGAAGAAAAAGCAUCGGCUAACUCCGUGCCAGCAGCCGCGGUAAUACGGAGGAUGCGAGCGUUAUCCGGAUUUAUUGGGUUAAAAGGGUGCGCAGGCGGCCUGUUAAGUCAGCGGUCAAAGCCCGGGGCUCAACCCCGGCCCGCCGUUGAAACUGGCAGUCUCGAGUUGGAGAGAAGUAUGCGGAAUGCGCGGUGUAGCGGUGAAAUGCAUAGAUAUCGCGCAGAACUCCGAUUGCGAAGGCAGCAUGCCGGCUCCACACUGACGCUGAGGCACGAAAGCGUGGGUAUCGAACAGGAUUAGAUACCCCGGUAGUC